AUGGCUAUCACUCAACAGUUCCAGAAUGCCUUACCAUUUGAGCUCAACUGGAAGGAACUUCAGAAAGCAAAACAGACAUCAGCCAGCGAUUACCUUUGCAAAAAGUUCUUCAUUGGAAGAGUACCAGCAAUCUAUGGGGACCAACCUUCACAUGGCACCAAGGCAUCACAAUUCCUUCCCUUUCAAAGUGGUGCAGUUGAUAUAAUCACCUUUAAAGGUCCCAAAUUGCUGACAAUCAAAGAAAUCUGGAUCGGCCUUGAAUCAGGUUCGUGGAGAUUAGAUGGUUUAAGUCUGAAAGUGAUCCAUGGAGCACUGAACACACCUAAAGAUCUUGAGGGAACACUUGAGCUCAAGUUCAGCGGUUUACAGUUCACUUUCGACAAGCUCGGUGUGCUGCUUGCUGAGGAUGGAGCUUCAGUUGUGGAAGCAAGGCUGCCUACUGCUAUCACUGACCUGUCAGGAAUUAGCAUUUCUGAUCUUCAAGAGGGGCAGCUAUCCUCAGCAAAGACAACCUCAAGCAUUAAGGAAUUGAAGGAAGAUGGACUGAGGGAGUAUGCUGAUCUCAAGCAAUCCUUGCUGCUUUACGACAUAUCUAUUGUUAUAACAGGUUUCUCUGCCUUCACUCUGGCUUCGAAUGAUGGAGCUGCCUACUCGUUCCUCGUCGGUGGGAUUGGAGGGUUGCUGUAUCUAUUGCUGCUCCAAAGAUCUGUGGACGGGUUACCGGCAAUUAGUUCUCCUUCAGAAGCGAGCAGUUCAGAGCCCACUAUGAACUUCAGCGGCGUAAGAAGGCCAUGGUUGAUAUUGUCGAUUGUAAUGGUUGCUGGGGCUGUUGCACUGAAGUACGGUGCUGGUGGUGACAACUUCGAGCUGACUCCGACUGAGCUAUUUGUUGGCACUGCAGGGUUCCUGGCGAACAAGGUUGCUGUUCUUCUGGCAGCAUUCAAACCCUUGCAAAGUAAUUUGGAGAGCGACGAUGGAUCUGUGGACUGA
rnacentral:rRNA from 1 species